AACGAACGCUGGCGGCAUGCCUAACACAUGCAAGUCGAACGAGACCUUCGGGUCUAGUGGCGCACGGGUGCGUAACGCGUGGGAACCUGCCCGUAGGUUCGGAAUAACUCCCCGAAGGGGGUGCUAAUACCGGAUAAUUUCUUCGGACCAAAGAUUUAGCGUCCUUGGAUGGGCCCGCGUUGUUUUCGCUGGUUGGUAGCGUAACAGCCUACGAAGGCGACGAUCCAUAGCUGGUCUGAGAGGAUGAUCAGCCACACUGGGACUGGGACACGGCGCAGACUAUUGCGCGAGGGGGCAGUGGGUGAUCCUGGACUAUGGGGGAAAGGCUGAUGCAGCUAUGCUGGGUGAGUGAUGAAGGCGUUAGGGUAGUACAGCUCUUUUAUCCGGGAUGAUAAUGACAGUACCGGAAGAAUAAGCACCGGCUAACUCCGUG
rnacentral:rRNA from 1 species